UACGUAGGGUGCGAGCGUUAAUCGGAAUUACUGGGCGUAAAGCGUGCGCAGGCGGUUAUAUAAGACAGAUGUGAAAUCCCCGGGCUCAACCUGGGACCUGCAUUUGUGACUGUAUAGCUAGAGUACGGUAGAGGGGGAUGGAAUUCCGCGUGUAGCAGUGAAAUGCGUAGAUAUGCGGAGGAACACCGAUGGCGAAGGCAAUCCCCUGGACCUGUA
rnacentral:rRNA from 1 species